GUACUCCUUUUUUUCAUCCCCUGAGCUACCGUCGUGGCGAUGAAAGGGAUGUGACCGCACCUUUUCCUCAGCGGAGGGUGGGAAGCGGCCGGUGCCAAA
rnacentral:rRNA from 1 species